rnacentral:sRNA from 1 species
UACCGGUACAAGCCACUGUGCUCAGCCUCACUUUUAAAAUAUGCAUUUUUUUGUUUCUGAGAUUGUUUUUCUCUGUUAGUUAUCUGCAUUUCUUCUUUCCGUGAAUUACCUAUUCCCAUCCUUUGUGCAUUUUUGUAUUUUUUUCUCAUUGAUUUAUCAAGGUCUUUAUGAUGCUGCUUCCUAACAUUGUAUAUAUACUGCUUCACAAUUUAUAAAGCACUUUUCCUAUGUGUAAUAACACUCGAUCCAGUUCUGAGUUGCAUUUUGUGGUCUCAGAAUAGUUAGCCUAACCUGCCUUCAGUCUUCCUGCUAGUGAGAGGAGUCUGGACUCCCACUCAGAUUUCCAGAUCCUAAAAUGAAUGUUCCUUUUGCUACACUGCAGUUUGCAAUUUCCAUCUUCCAAAUCCAGGAGUAUUUUGGGAAGGUUUUGUUUUUCUGACAUCUGUUCCACAAGAGCAGAGCUCAUGAAUGGCCAUGAUUUAAUUCCCCAAGUCUCUGCUGGAGCCUUCCCAGCUGUCAUGAGGUUGAGUAUGGCUUUAUCAUCAUGAAACAAGUCAUCAGAGUCUUUGAAUCUUGCGUAGGAAUUGGAAGUCGGGGUAUACCAGGAUAGGUUUUCAGCACCAGGUGUGGCACUCACCCUCCGGUAUGCUUGGCAGAGUUUGUGAAGCGGCUCCGGUACUGCGAAUACCUAGGGAAGUAUUUCUGUGACUGCUGCCACUCAUAUGCAGAGUCGUGCAUCCCUGCCCGAAUCCUGAUGAUGUGGGACUUCAAGAAGUACUACGUCAGCAAUUUCUCCAAACGGCUGCUCGACAGCAUAUGGCACCAGCCCAUUUUCAAUUUGCUGAGCAUCGGCCAAAGCCUGUAUGCGAAAGCCAAGGAGCUGGACAGAGUGAAGGAAAUUCAGGAGCAGCUCUUCCAUAUCAAGAAGCUGUUGAAGACCUGUAGGUUUGCUAACAGUGCAUUAAAGGAGUUCGAGCAGGUGCCGGGACACUUGACUGAUGAGCUCCACCUGUUCUCCCUUGAGGACCUGGUCAGGAUCAAGAAAGGGCUGCUGGCACCCUUACUCAAGGACAUUCUGAAAGCUUCCCUUGCACAUGUGGCUGGCUGUGAGCUGUGUCAAGGAAAGGGCUUUAUUUGUGAAUUUUGCCAGAAUACGACUGUCAUCUUCCCAUUUCAGACAGCAACAUGUAGAAGAUGUUCAGCGUGCAGGGCUUGCUUUCACAAACAGUGCUUCCAGUCCUCCGAGUGCCCCCGGUGUGCGAGGAUCACAGUGAGGAGAAAACUUCUGGAAAGUGUGGCCUCUGCAGCAACAUGAUGCCCCUGAGUACUGUGAAAAAGACUGUUCAACAUGCCUUAUGAUAACACCGAUUUGUGUCUAUUAUUGGUGACGUUGUUUUAGAUAUUGGGUAUUGUAUAUUAAGGAAAAAGAUGGUCUAUAUUCUCUUUAUUGCAUAUACUUAAUGUUUCAAAAGAAUGCAGAUUCUGUGUUUAAGCACAGGGCUGAUAGUAGUGGUUUUGUUUACAAAUGUUCUGUUUUGGCUGCUAUUGGUUUUUUAAAGAGGUUUUUUAUACUUUUGUAUUUGAAUAGUUAUGUUUCACUGAUGCUGAGCCAGUUUGUAUGUGUGUGCAUAUAUGUGAACUGUAACUGACAAGAUGAAUUACUCAAUUUCUCUUCCUCUAAAGCUUGUUUGAUGAAACUGGUUGGUCCUUUCAGUGAACAAAAAUAUGACCCCAAA